UACGUAGGUGGCAAGCGUUGUCCGGAUUUACUGGGCGUAAAGAGCGCGCAGGCGGUCGAUCAAGUCGCGUGUGAAAGCCCCCGGCUCAACUGGGGAGGGUCACGCGAUACUGACUCGACUCGAAGGCAGGAGAGGGAAGUGGAAUUCCCGGUGUAGUGGUGAAAUGCGUAGAUAUCGGGAGGAACACCAGUGGCGAAGGCGACUUCCUGGCCUGUUCUUGACGCUGAGGCGCGAAGGCCAGGGGAGCAAACGGG
rnacentral:rRNA from 1 species